rnacentral:rRNA from 1 species
UACAUGGGGUGCAAACGUUGCUCGGAAUUAUUGGGCGUAAAGCGCGCGUAGGCGGUUACUUAUGUCGGAUGUGAAAGCCCUCGGCUUAACUGAGGAAGUGCAUUCGAAACUGGGUAGCUAGAGUACUAAAGAGGGUCGCGGAAUUCCCGGUGUAGAGGUGAAAUUCGUAGAUAUCGGGAGGAACACCUGCGGCGAAGGCGGCUUCCUGGACUGCAACUGACGCUGAGGCGCGAAAGCUAGGGGAGCAAACAGG